GAACACCUUGGUUUCUUGAUUAUCGGCUUGGCAUGUUUUCGAGGAGACAAUUUCAUUGGUCGACAUAUAUGUUACAGCGAUUGUGAUUGGUUCAGGCAUGGUUUGAUUCAGUCAGUCACGAAGUUUUGGAGCGAAAACACUGCGUUGUUAGAAACCUGUUUCUACAGAGUUGUUCGCUUUUGCAUAAGGUUUUGCAGAACAUAACUUAACCAGCACCGGAAGCGUGAGAUGUGAGGGUUUUCAGUACCACAUAUUGAUUACAUCUCUACAUUUAUUGAGUCUUGUUCUUCCUAUUCGUACAAUACCGUACCGUUAUAUCUGGCGCCCAACCUAACCGAACCUGGACAGACCCAUAAGGAGAGGGUUUCGUGCUUGUAGCUGAGAAGCCUAGAGACGAAGACGUCUUUCCUACCACGGGGGAGAGCAGUGUGUGACAACUGGUGUCACAGUCAAGA